CGUGCAUGUUAAACGAAACGUUGAAUCGUCUAUUGGGAAACAUGUUCAAAGUAGUUCGUUCCGCUUCCGUGCUUACUACUGUCCUUUUAAUCUUAGGAUUUUUCUGGAUUGCAACGACAGAGGCAUUAGUGUGCAAUUGUGAAGCACCUGUAGGUCGACGAUGUCGGCGCCAAUGUCAAGGUUAAGGAGAAUUGAAGAUACAUUCAUAAUUACAAAUGAUACACAUUGAAGAUACAUAAAAUGGUAGCUCAUCGAUGACAAUUAGACUGUGUAUUUGGAUUUGUUUAACAUGUGGAAGAUGUGAUCUGAAUCACAUGUAAAAAUAAAGACUUCUCAUAAUGAUGAAUAUUGUUUUAUGGACCCAAAUUUGAAGCCUAACAUUAUCACUGUUACAUUCCAUCGUCGCCAUACUUUGUUUCCUAUGAUGGAAUGUAGACCAAAUUUGUUAGACCACGUACACACUACAGACAACUGAGAGCAAUUCCUCGAGGAGGAUUAGAGUUAAGAUUUUGAUUCGAGACUGAUUCAAAUUAUGCGCGGGGGUUUAUCAGCAGUAUGCGCGCGCGAUGGCU